rnacentral:rRNA from 1 species
UACGUAGGGUGCAAGCGUUGUCCGGAAUUAUUGGGCGUAAAGAGCUCGUAGGCGGUUUGUCGCGUCUGCUGUGAAAACCCGAGGCUCAACCUCGGGCCUGCAGUGGGUACGGGCAGACUUGAGUUCGGUAGGGGAGACUGGAAUUCCUGGUGUAGCGGUGAAAUGCGUAGAUAUCGGGAGGAACACCUGUGGCGAAGGCGGCCGCCUGGUUGGAUACUGACGCUGAGACGCGAAAGCGUGGGGAGCAAACAGG